AUUGAACGCUGGCGGCAGGCUUAACACAUGCAAGUCGAACGAUGAUUAUCUAGCUUGCUAGAUAUGAUUAGUGGCGGACGGGUGAGUAACAUUUAGGAAUCUGCCUAGUAGUGGGGGAUAGCUCGGGGAAACUCGAAUUAAUACCGCAUACGACCUACGGGUGAAAGGGGGCGCAAGCUCUUGCUAUUAGAUGAGCCUAAAUCAGAUUAGCUAGUUGGUGGGGUAAAGGCCCACCAAGGCGACGAUCUGUAACUGGUCUGAGAGGAUGAUCAGUCACACCGGAACUGAGACACGGUCCGGACUCCUACGGGAGGCAGCAGUGGGGAAUAUUGGACAAUGGGGGCAACCCUGAUCCAGCCAUGCCGCGUGUGUGAAGAAGGCCUUUUGGUUGUAAAGCACUUUAAGCAGGGAGGAGAGGCUAAUGGUUAAUACCCAUUAGAUUAGACGUUACCUGCAGAAUAAGCACCGGCUAACUCUGUGCCAGCAGCCGCGGUAAUACAGAGGGUGCGAGCGUUAAUCGGAAUUACUGGGCGUAAAGCGAGUGUAGGUGGCUCAUUAAGUCACAUGUGAAAUCCCCGGGCUUAACCUGGGAACUGCAUGUGAUACUGGUGGUGCUAGAAUAUGUGAGAGGGAAGUAGAAUUCCAGGUGUAGCGGUGAAAUGCGUAGAGAUCUGGAGGAAUACCGAUGGCGAAGGCAGCUUCCUGGCAUAAUAUUGACACUGAGAUUCGAAAGCGUGGGUAGCAAACAGGAUUAGAUACCCUGGUAGUCCACGCCGUAAACGAUGUCUACUAGCCGUUGGGGUCCUUGAGACUUUAGUGGCGCAGUUAACGCGAUAAGUAGACCGCCUGGGGAGUACGGCCGCAAGGUUAAAACUCAAAUGAAUUGACGGGGGCCCGCACAAGCGGUGGAGCAUGUGGUUUAAUUCGAUGCAACGCGAAGAACCUUACCUGGUCUUGACGUAGUGAGAAUCCUGCAGAGAUGCGGGAGUGCCUUCGGGAAUUCACAUACAGGUGCUGCAUGGCUGUCGUCAGCUCGUGUCGUGAGAUGUUGGGUUAAGUCCCGCAACGAGCGCAACCCUUUUCCUUAUUUGCCAGCGGGUUAAGCCGGGAACUUUAAGGAUACUGCCAGUGACAAACUGGAGGAAGGCGGGGACGACGUCAAGUCAUCAUGGCCCUUACGACCAGGGCUACACACGUGCUACAAUGGUAGGUACAGAGGGUUGCUACACAGCGAUGUGAUGCUAAUCUCAAAAAGCCUAUCGUAGUCCGGAUUGGAGUCUGCAACUCGACUCCAUGAAGUCGGAAUCGCUAGUAAUCGCAGAUCAGAAUGCUGCGGUGAAUACGUUCCCGGGCCU
rnacentral:rRNA from 1 species